AUCUACAACAAUCCCAUUUCCACAUAAUAAAAAACAACAAUAUCAAAGUACAUUUUGGAUCAUAAGUUAAAACAGAAAAAGAUAAAAUACAGACAGAUAAAUACAAUAGAAUCGAUCGGAAAUAUCAGGUUAAGACGAGUACCAGCGGCGCCAGCGAGGCCACGGCGUGGAAUCAGAGAGGCAGAUCUAGCGGCUGAACCGGGAGAUGAUAACCGAGCGAAGGUUACAGCUCGGCGCGCCGUCAUUGCAGCCAAUGAAGUAGCCAUGGCUUCCUGUUUUUCUAUCCAAGAGUGAAGGGUAUGCGAGCAAAUCGGAAAUAAGACCUUUUGGAGGAAAUAUGCGCUUGACGUAGUCAAACGAUGUCGUAGUAGGAGACUCACUAAUGAUCCUCUGACAUUUUUUUCAAUUCAUCCGGUUAGAUAGUAAUGGUCAAACGACGUCGUAGGAGAAAAAUUAAGUCAUGAAGGACUACCCACCCACCCCCCCCCAACCCAAACUUACUACUGGGGACUAAAAACCCUUACACCAACAGAACUGGAUUUUGGAAAUAAAAAAUCUAGAGCAUUUUGAUUUGUAUAUAUUCCUAACAUAUACUACCUAGAUUGCAUGGAAAAUUUUAAACACUAUAUAUUAUCUACUUCCCUGAGUUGAUAUAGUACCAGCAGAGCACAAUCAGGCAAUAUCAUUUUCCUGCUGCCUAACUAAAAAUAGAUUUUCAUAUCCACAUGUUAUUAGCCUUCAAGCUUUAUAAAGUAUGUUGUUCAGUUAUUCAGAAGUGCAGUUCCAUUGUCGUAUAAACAAGUUAAAUAUGCAUACAGCAUCAAAGCAGAUAUUUCAGAAAUUUGAGCAGUCAAAUUGCCUAUAAUAAAGUUAAAAUACUGGUUUCUGAUAAGUAGAUUGUAUGCAAAGGCCUUAUAACAUUGUCAAGUAUCUCUAGAAUAUAAAGUAAACCCAGAAUUAAACAUUGGCCUUUCAUCUGGAACAGACCAUUACAGCCAUAUCUGUGCACUCCUCAAUGAAGAACAUCCUACAUCACAAUCUGAUAUGCACUUGGACACCAGCUCAUCACUUACUUUGCGAGAAACAACAUUUUUUAAUCACUUGAACUGCAAAGGCAUGUCCUUCCUUCCAAGUUACAUCAUGUGGGGAAAUCUAAUUUCUCAAUAAAAUUCUAUUGACUACAAAAAAACAGUUGUAUAGGGCCCGGAUGCUGUCAUGCCAUUCCCGUGUGCACAUGGAAGUGACAUUUGGAGAUAGUUAUAUUAAGGAAAUUUGUGAUUAAAUUGACACAAAAACCAGCAUUGAAUUUUAAGUCAUUUUUGCAAUCAUAAGAUUAAUCAGGCCCUAAAAUUUAAAGACGAGUCAUUCGUUUAUAAAGAGUAAAUAUAUCAAAUUUAGGAUUUAAAGGGUUGACCUAACUCUUUUCUCAUCCAGACACAGUUUCGAACAGCUUGAAUCUAAUGAUAAUCCACCCGUUUUUGCAUCCCUAGCGAUAAUCAGUGUCUAAUUUUGGCUCCAAAAUAAUUCUAACGCCAGUUUCAUCAAGAAAUUAGCUUGUCAACAAACAUCAUAAGCAAAUAAGUCUAUAAACCUGCUUCGUCGUGUCUCACUUACAGUACAUUAAAUAAUAAGAUUAAAAAAUUUUAGGGCACAUGAAUAACUCAAAAAUAGUACUUCCAACAUUAUCUCCAUACAAAAUGAGAAUAAUUCAAUAAUAAAAGAAGAACGUAAUGAGAAGAAACUCACGUGCUCCUCCUUCCACUUGGACGGACUCAUCGGGUCUUUCCAGCAAUCAACCUUAGCUGGCCCAUGGUGAUCUACAACAAUCCCAUUUCCACAUAAUAAAAAACAACAAUAUCAAAGUACAUUUUGGAUCAUAAGUUAAAACAGAAAAAGAUAAAAUACAGACAGAUAAAUACAAUAGAAUCGAUCGGAAAUAUCAGGUUAAGACGAGUACCAGCGGCGCCAGCGAGGCCACGGCGUGGAAUCAGAGAGGCAGAUCUAGCGGCUGAACCGGGAGAUGAUAACCGAGCGAAGGUUACAGCUCGGCGCGCCGUCAUUGCAGCCAAUGAAGUAGCCAUGGCUUCCUGUUUUUCUAUCCAAGAGUGAAGGGUAUGCGAGCAAAUCGGAAAUAAGACCUUUUGGAGGAAAUAUGCGCUUGACGUAGUCAAACGAUGUCGUAGUAG
rnacentral:lncRNA from 1 species